rnacentral:rRNA from 1 species
UACAGAGGUCCCAAGCGUUGUUCGGAUUCACUGGGCGUAAAGGGUGCGUAGGUGGUCGGGUAAGUCUGAUGUGAAAUCUCUGGGCUCAACCCAGAAAUGGCAUUGGAUACUAUUCGGCCAGAGGAGUGGAGGGGGGACUGGAAUACUUGGUGUAGCAGUGAAAUGCGUAGAUAUCAAGUGGAACACCAGUGGCGAAGGCGAGUCCCUGGACACUUCCUGACACUGAGGCACGAAAGCUAGGGGAGCAAACAGG